rnacentral:tRNA from 1 species
GCAUCCAUGGCUGGAAUGGUUUAUAAGCGACCCAACAAAUUGGCGAAUUCGUAGGUUCAAUUCCUACUGGAUGCA